rnacentral:antisense_RNA from 1 species
UUGGCCGUGAACUUCCAGUAGUCCUGCGACUCCAGCAGCGCCUCGUAGCUGUAGUGGUCGCCGUCCGCCAGCACCCCGAGCACGGUGGCGUCACCGUACUUGCCGGCGCCAAUCUUGUUCACCUUGCCGUGGGCGAUGAGGACGAUGCAGUCCGCUUCCUUGCCCACCUCGGUGAUGACAUCGCCGGCCUUGUACGUCUUCUGCUCGAAGCGGUUGGCCAGCGCCGUCAGCACCUCGACGUCGUCGUAGCUGCGCAGCAGGGGGAGCUCACACAGCUCCUGCGGGAUGACCUGCACCUUGGCGCCGGUGGUGGUGAACGUCACGCGGCCAUCGCCCACCGCGUAGCUCAGCCGGCGGUUGACGCGGUAUACGCCACCGGACACCUGCACCCAGGGCAGCAGCUUGAGCAGCCACCGGGAGGAGAUGCCCUGCAUCUGCGGGACGGACUUGGUCGUCGUGGCCAGCUGGCGCGCGGCGGCCGUGCCCAAGCUCAACUGGGACUUCUCGG